rnacentral:snRNA from 17 species
ACAUUUACCUGGCAGGGGAGAUACCAUGAUCACAAAGAUACUUUUCCCAGAUAAGACUUAUCCAUUAUAGUCCAGAUAUGAUGAUCCCUGUGAUUUUCCAAAUAUAGAAAGCUUGACUACAUUAUUUGUGAUAAUGAGGAAUUGCAUUUAUCA